UCUCAGGAGGGGAAAGAAGAGAGCUGCUCUCAGACUCAUCUGCAGGUAACAGACUGACACUUCACUGCUGAAAGGCUGAGAAUGGAAAUAUCCACAUGUUAAAAAGAAGAAGAGAAAGAUGCACAUUGUGUUCUUCUGUACAGUCUCUGAUAAUGUAUGUUUGGAGCUGUGUCAGUGUCUUGUUGAUUUCUCUUACAGAGCCAUCCUUGACCUGGCCAGAGAGCAGGCCCCCCACUUAGUGUAUUUGACAAGCUGAGUUGGACACUCUGUAUCAGUGAGUGUCAGUUUGUCAAAUACCCCAAGUGAGGUGUCACUUGUCUACAAACGAAGGUCACUGCACAGAGAGGGAUCCACCGUGCAGAGGAAACUGAAAACUCCAAGAUAACAGUGCUCACCCCCUGGUGAUCCCAAACAUGGAUCCUCUGCAGUUUGCAUACCAGCCUGGGAUUGGGAUGGAUGACGCCGUCCUCUACCUGCUGCAGAGAUCCCUGUCUCACCUGGAACACACUAGACACACCGUGAGGAUCACGUUCUUCGACUUCUCCAGUGCCUUCAAUACAAUCCAACCCUCACUGCUGAGGGUGAAGAUGGAGUGGGCUGGGGUCAGUGACCAGCUGGCUGCAUGGACCAUGGACUACCUCACAGACAGACCCCAGUAUGUGAGGCUACAGGACUGUGUGUCUGAUAUGGUGGUCUGAAGCACAGGACCCGCCAGGAUACAGUACUCUCACCUUUCCUCUUCACCCUCUAUACAUCGGACUUCCGUUACUCCACAGACAGUUGCCAUCUCCAGAAGUUCUCCGAUGACGCUGCCAUCAUAGGAUGCGUGUCAGACGGGAGCGACUGCGAGUACAGGAAGGUCAUCAUGGACUUUGUCUACUGGUGUGAGCAGAACCACCUCCAAAUGAACACCAGCAAGACAAAGGAGAUGGUGAUUGAUUUCCACAGGAAACCCUCAGACACUCCACCACUGAACAUCCAGGGGCUUGACAUUGAGAGGGUGAGGACCUAUAAGUACCUGGGUGUUCACUUAAAUAACAAACCGGACUGGACAGAUAACACUGACUCUCUGUAUAAGAAAGGUCAGUGUCAUUUAUACCUGCUAAGGAGAUUCGCAUCAUUUGGUGUGAGCAGGCCACUGCUGAGGACCUUUUAUGACACUGUGGUGGCAUCCAUGGAUGCAGUGGUGUGCUGGGGAGGUGGGUGCUCUGAGCGUGAUAAAAACAGACUCAACAGACUGAUGAAAAGAGCCAGCUCAGUCUAUGGCUGCCCCCUGGACUCCAUUGAGGUGGUGGGAGAGAGGAGGGCUCUGGCCAAACUAUCGUCCAUCAUGGAAAACUCCUCCCACCCUCUACAUCAGACUGUGAACUCCUUAAGAAGCGCCUUCAGCAAUAGACUGGUACACCCUAGGUGUAGGAAGGAAUGCUUCUGCAAAUUGUUUAUUCCAGCAUCUGUCAGACUAUAUAAUGCCACAUUAUAAACUUCACUGCAUGCUGUUUACUGCUCCACUUUUUUCCUCCCCUCAAUUUACACAAACAUCCACCUACUUAUGUGCAAUAACUGAUACCUCAUCAGUGCAAUAACCGAUACCUCAUCCUCCUGUAUUUAGUCUUCUACAUGGUACUUAAAAAAAUCAUCUGUAUAUAAUGUAAUCCACAAUUUUUGCACUGUCUUUCUUUUUCUAUUUAUUUCUUUUUUUGUACUGACUUUACACAUUUAUACUUUUUCUCUGGAGCUGCUGUAAUGGUGAAGUUUCCUCACUGUAGGAUCAAUAAAGUUUAUCCUUAUCCUUAUCCUUA